rnacentral:ribozyme from 1 species
CUAUCAUAAAGUGAGUUGAAUAGAUAGGUAGAAAGCUAUAUGGAUAGGCAAAAUGUUGUCAAACUGUGAGCUUAAUCUCAAAACUAAUAGAUAUAAGGAGCUCUCCAGUGCAGUU